AUGGUUAACAUCAUUUUGAUCCCAAAUGUAACUAAAAGCUUGACAGAGUCUCAGGUCUCAGAUCCCAAUUAUCGUAGUUUAGAGUUUCGGAUGAAGUAUGCUUCAUCUCCCUCUUUUCUUUUUCUUUUCCAAGCAAUAUCUGUCCACAUACGUGUCAUUAACCUUUGUUUUGAUCUUAAAGUAAACCAUAUUUGGAAUUCACACAUGUGA